UUUAAAGUGGCAGAAAUAUAAUGCGUCGGAUUUAAGCUUCGAAGAUGGGAUUUAUAUCCCCUUUAAAA
rnacentral:tRNA from 1 species